rnacentral:rRNA from 1 species
AGAGUUUGAUCAUGGCUCAGAGUGAUCGCUGGCGGCGUGCUUAACACAUGCAAGUCGAGCGGAUUUCUGCAGUGUAUCGCAGGAAUUAGCGGCAGACGGGUGAGUAAUACUUGGGCAAUCUGCCCUUGAGUGAGAAACAACCGGCCGAAAGGCUGGCUAAUGUCCCAUAAGACCACAGGAUGGCAUCAUCCAGGGGUCAAAGCUCCGUAAGGGGCGCUUGAGGAGGAGCCUGAGUCCUAUCAGCUAGUUGGUGAGGUAACGGCUCACCAAGGCUUUGACGGGUAGCCGGCCUGAAAGGGUGAUCGGCCACACUGGCACUGAGACACGGGCCAGACUCCUACGGGAGGCAGCAGUGGGGAAUUUUGGACAAUGGGGGCAACCCUGAUCCAGCGACGCCGCGUGAAGGAUGAAGGUCUUCGGGUUGUAAACUUCUUUUGGAGGGGAUGAAUGCCUGAGUGAAUAACUCAGGGUGACAGUACUCUCGGAAUAAGCCACGGCUAACUACGUGCCAGCAGCCGCGGUAAUACGUAGGUGGCAAGCGAUACUCGGAAUCACUAGGCGUAAAGCGCAGGUAGGCGGUUCGGUAAGUCUUUUGUGAAAGCUCCUGGCUCAACUGGGAGAGGUCAAGGGAAACUACCGGACUAGAGUGUGGUAGGGGAUACUGGAAUUCCUGGUGUAGCGGUGAAAUGCGUAGAUAUCAGGAGGAAUACCUAUGGCGAAAGCAGGUAUCUGGGCCAUCACUGACGCUGAGCUGCGAAAGCUAGGGGAGCAAACAGGAUUAGAUACCCUAGUAGUCC